rnacentral:rRNA from 1 species
UUAAGUUACUAAGGGCGUACAGUGGAUGCCUUGGCACCGAAAGACGAUGAAGGACGCGACUACCUGCGAUAAUCCUCGGCGAGCUGGAAGUAAGCUUUGACCCGAGGGUCUCCGAAUGGGGAAACCCGAUGCGCGUUAUGGCGCACCACCUGACCGGCCAAUACAUAACCGGCAGGAGACAACCCUGGGAAUUGAAACAUCUAAGUACCAGGAGGAAAAGAAAGAGAAUUCGAUUCCGUCAGUAGCGGCGAGCGAAAGCGGAAGAGCCUAAACCACCUUGAGUGGGGUUCGGGAUCACAUCAGUAUAAGUAGACACAAGGAGAAUUACCUGGAAUGGUAAGCCAAAGAGGGUGAAAGCCCCGUACCUGUAAAAAAGCUACUUGUCGUGAUUUCCAGAGUACGGCGGGACACGUGAAAUCCUGUCGGAAUGUGCGGAGACCACUCCGUAAGGCUAAAUACUCUUCGGUGACCGAUAGUGAACCAGUACCGUGAGGGAAAGGUGAAAAGAACCCCGGGAGGGGAGUGAAAAGAAUCUGAAACCGUAUGCCUACAAAAAGUCAGAGGGCGUUAAAGCCUGAUGACGUGCCUAUUGAAGAAUGAGCCGGCGAGUUAUGAACACAUGCGAGGUUAAGGAGAAGAUCCGGAGCCGAAGCGAAAGCGAGUCUUAACAGGGCGACAGUAUGUGUUUGUAGACCCGAAACCCGACGAUCUAGCCAUGAUCAGGAUGAAGUAAGGGUAAAACCUUAUGGAGGUCCGAACCGACGUUCGUUGAAACGCCCGCGGAUGAAUUGUGGCUCGUGGUGAAAUUCCAAUCGAGUCGGGUAAUAGCUGGUUCUCCCCGAAAUAGCUUUAGGGCUAGCCUUGGGACAUUGUUUAGUGGGGGUAAAGCACUGAAUAUGAGCGAGCCGCGCCAAGCGGUAUCAAUCAUAAUCAAACUCUGAAUCCCAUUAGAUGUACCCCAGGAGUCAGACUACGGGAGAUAAGUUCCGUGGUCAAGAGGGCAACAGCCCAGACCGCCGAUUAAGGUCCCUAAAUUCACGCUAAGUGUCAAAGGAUGUAGAGAUACUCAAACAGCUAGGAUGUUGGCUCAGAGGCAGCCAUCAUUUAAAGAAUGCGUAACAGCUCACUAGUCAAGUGUCUCCGCGCCGAAAAUUUACCGGGGCUAAGCGUGAUACCGAAAUCGCGGAUGAAUCCUAAAAAUUCGUGGUAGGGGAGCGUUCUGUUUGCAGCGAAGCCAUAUCGUGAGGAGUGGUGGAGCGUACAGAAGCGAGAAUGCCGGCGUAAGUAACGAUAAAGGGUGAGAAUCCCUUUCACCAAUUGACUAAGGUUUCCUGGGCAAGGUUCGUCCUCCCAGGGUUAGUCGGGACCUAAGGCGAGGCCGACAGGCGUAGUCGAUGGACAGCAGGUUGAUAUUCCUGCACCCGAGCACGCAGUGAUGCAAUGACGAAAACGGCUAUGCUCACCUCCGAUCGGAAGUGGAGGGCAGAGCGUAGGAGUCGAUUCCUUGUUAAGUACGGGAAUCAUUAAGACAAAGACGUGCGGUAUGAAAGUCGCGAGACGAGUAAGAAACAGCAGACGCCGAUUUCCAAGAAAAGUUGCUAACGUUAAACGUGUUCGGCCCGUACCGAGAACGGACACACGUGGUCAAGGAGAAUAUCCUGAGGUGAGCGAGAUAACUGUUGUUAAGGAACUCUGCAAAAUAACUUCGUAAGUUAGCAAGAAGAAGUGCUCCAGCGAUGGAGCCGCAGCGAAUCGGCCCAAGUAACUGUUUACCAAAAACACAGCUCUAUGCUAAGUCGCAAGACGAUGUAUAUGGGGUGACGCCUGCCCGGUGCCGGAAGGUUAAAAGGAGAGGUUAGGAGCAAUCCGAAGCUUUGAAUUGAAGCCCCGGUGAACGGCGGCCGUAACUAUAACGGUCCUAAGGUAGCGAAAUUCCUUGUCGGGUAAG